rnacentral:rRNA from 2 species
AGACCCGAAACCCGGUGAUCUAGCCAUGGGCAGGUUGAAGGUUGGGUAACACUAACUGGAGGACCGAACCGACUAAUGUUGAAAAAUUAGCGGAUGACCUGUGGCUGGGGGUGAAAGGCCAAUCAAACCGGGAGAUAGCUGGUUCUCCCCGAAAGCUAUUUAGGUAGCGCCUCGUGAAUUCAUCUCCGGGGGUAGAGCACUGUUUCGGCUAGGGGGCCAUCCCGGCUUACCAACCCGAUGCAAACUGCGAAUACCGGAGAAUGUUAUCACGGGAGACACACGGCGGGUGCUAACGUCCGUCGUGAAGAGGGAAACAACCCAGACCGCCAGCUAAGGUCCCAAAGUCAUGGUUAAGUGGGAAACGAUGUGGGAAGGCCCAGACAGCCAGGAUGUUGGCUUAGAAGCAGCCAUCAUUUAAAGAAAGCGUAAUAGCUCACUGGUCGAGUCGGCCUGCGCGGAAGAUGUAACGGGGCUAAACCAUGCACCGAAGCUGCGGCAGCGACACUCAGGUGUUGUUGGGUAGGGGAGCGUUCUGUAAGCCUGCGAAGGUGGCCUGUGAGGGUUGCUGGAGGUAUCAGAAGUGCGAAUGCUGACAUAAGUAACGAUAAAGCGGGUGAAAAGCCCGCUCGCCGGAAGACCAAGGGUUCCUGUCCAACGUUAAUCGGGGCAGGGUGAGUCGACCCCUAAGGCGAGGCCGAAAGGCGUAGUCGAUGGGAAACGGGUUAAUAUUCCCGUACUUGGUGUUACUGCGAAGGGGGGACGGAGAAGGCUAUGUUGGCCGGGCGACGGUUGUCCCGGUUUAAGCGUGUAGGUGUGUGUUCCAGGUAAAUCCGGUUCACUUUAACACUGAGGCGUGA